UUCUUCCUUCCAUAUGGUGAAGAAGGAGGUCACCAGACAACAACUGUUGGAGCGUUGGAGUGUUAUUGAACAAGAAGACGAUGACGAUAGCCUCUCUUCUGUUCAUCCCCUCAAACGUCGUCGUUUGCGCCAGCUCAAAGAGCAAUGGUUUUCAGAUGCAUUCAACUUCUUGAUAUAUUUGCCAAAAGAAUAUCAUGUCUGGUGUGGUUACUGGGAUCUGAUGGGGCCUCUUCUGGAAACAUUCUACAAUUAUUUCAAGGAAGAAUGCCAUGAUUCUCCUCUCAAACUUUUAUGGAAUAGAAUUUCUCAAGAGAUAACAAGUUGCACUCUAUGCAUUCACCAGCAUCAUCAAGCACAACAGAUGUAUGAUAAAGAAUAUGAGGAGAGCUGUAUAAGUCCUCUUCUUGACGUGCUGCGUAUGCUUGAUGAAGAAAGAAUCAGCCAACACCUCAAGGAUCUUAAUGCUAGAAUAGCAAAAGGGGAGUAUGACGCAGGACAUGAUUAUGCACAAGUUGUGAGUGUUAUGUUUGAGGUUUUGAUGUUCCCCAUCUUGUUGGAUGAUCAAUCCUUGGCCACAGAGUUUCAGAUUUUUAUUGAAGCAAUUGAUAAUUCUCACGAAUUAACGUUAGAUGGAUAUCAACAGUAUCCGGGAGUUUAUGCAUUGCUUUUCUUCAAAAGCAGAAGAGUGCGAUCUAUAGGUCUUCGCUUGGCUGGACAUAUGGGUAGAUUGAGGAGAUCAACGGAUUUGGAACCAUUGCAGCAUUUACUAAGGAAAUGCAUUUGCAUAUUGGAGACAGAAGGCAUGCAGCCAACUAUGGAGACAUCAAGGCCUAGGGUACAACUGGAUCGAAUAACUGUAUGGCUUGGAAUGAAAGCAUUGGUUGGGUUUUUAGAGCCUCCAGCAUUUGAAGAAGGGAUUGUAGAUCGGUAUCCUAUUUUCCUUAGUAUUGUGCUGAACCAUAUUAGUGAUGAUUCGCUCGAGUUUUCUCAUGCGGUUAACUGCCUGAGACUACUCUUUGAGAAGCUUGGAUGUAAACUAUGGUUGAGAGCUACAUUGUCUCCCAGUGUUAUGAGAAAUACACUUCUGGGCCAGUGUUUCCAUACUCGAAAUGAGAAAAGCCAUAAAGAAAUUUUUGAUCUUUUCCAGCCUUUUCUGCAGUCUCUUGAAGCUUUGCAAGAUGGCGAACAUGAAAAACAAAGAAGGCAUUUUUUAUUCUUUCUCCUGCAUCAAGUGCCCGUGAGCAGUAAUUUUAGUGUGCUGAUGAGGAAAAAGGCUUGCCAGAUAGCUCUUCUCAUUGUUCUCCGAGGUUACAAGAUGGAUCCACCUUGCCCACCGUCUGAAUGUGCACACAUGUGGGGCCCUUCUCUUGUGUCUUCUCUGAAGGAUCAGUCGCUGCAUAGUUCUCUUCGACAACCUGCAAUUGAUCUUAUAGAAACCAUUAUUGUAUCUGAUGCUUCUGCAUUGAUCUCUAUAAUUUUGAAUGGUCAGUUGCAUCCAAGUGAUAAACCAAUCAGGCCGAGUAACUAUGGUGAUGUGGAAGACGAAGAAGACAUUUUGUCUGGUUUCCAUAUUAAAGAGAAGGAUGUUAGUUGUUGGAAAGAAUUCACUGUGCAGCAUAAAAUGAUCUCACAGGUAGAUGGGAGCUGGAUGUGUGUACCCAUGUUAUGGUUUGAUGUGUUAGUUGAAAUUGAUCCAUUGGUCCUUCCUUUAUCCUUUUCCAAGGCUGUCUUUUGGUCAUUAUCUCGGUUUUCAGUAAUAGAACCUGAGAAUAGCACAGAAAUGGCUCUUUCUGUUAGGAAUUGGCUGGCAACCUGUGCUUCAGAAAUUUCUUAUCUGUUUGGGUGGAAGGUUCCCUCAGGUUCUGAUGAUGGCGGGGAUGGAACAGAAACGAGAAACUCUAUUAGAACUUCAACGAUGUGCCUGCCUUUAGUUAGGACAUUCAAGAGGUUAACUGCUCAUUACACUGUUAGGAUGGAACAAGGAGAUGUUAGGAAGCAGUGGACCUGGGAACCAAUGAUGAGCAAUAGUUUGAUACUCUUUCUUGUGGAUCCUAAUGAUAAUACCAGACAAGCUGGUAGGCGUAUUCUUGAACAAGUUUCAGAUGUUCGUGGCCUUACUUGUGGUCUGCAAUUUCUUUGCUCCACGCCACCAUCAUUGUUUGCCGUCCUAUUGGGGUUGAGACAUGCUCUGAAAUUGGUUCAGCUGGAUUCGGUUCUGUUAAACUUUCAGGCUUUACAUCAUCUCUUCUUCAUCCUGUGCAAAUUGCUCAAAGAAGGAAAUUCAUCUGCUCAGACUGUCUCCCAAGAUCCAUCUAAUGUUUCCGACAUUUCAAAAUUUUAUUUGCAAGGUGGAUUUCUAAAGCAACCUGUAUUUGAUUCUUCACCCUCUGAUGGUGAUUGCUCAUCAUUUGUUAGCUUGACAUUGUGGAAGAAGUUUAGCUCCUCACUAUCAGAAAUUGCAUGGCCGUCAAUUCUGAAAUGCUUGGAUGGAGGCAAGACAUUCACAGAUUACACAGUAUCUCAGAUGACAUGUAUACGUCUGCUCGAAGUCAUGCCUGUCGUUUUAGAAAGGCUGCCCCAAAAUUCUGGCAUUGUGUUGCAAACUUUUGGUAACACGAAAUGGCUCCACGAUUUGGCUGAUUGGGGGAAGUCAUCCCUUGCUGUCGUGGUUAGGUAUUGGAAACAAACAUUAGCUUUUUUGCUUGGUCAUAUUAAGGCGUGCUGCAGUAACAAAUCUGCUUCAGCAAUUUCUGAUGUUGAGAAACUUAUUUCAUAUGAAAAAGUUUCAAUAGAUGAGGUGAGCAAGCAAGUAGCACGCCUUUCUGUUUCAUUAACGGAUGAAGGUUCUACAUUGAAUAAAAUUGGUCGUCAAUCAAAAUGUUCACCUUCUGGAGAGUCAUUGAAUAGGAGAAACUGUUCAGCAGAAUCCGAAAUUCUGAUCGUUGAUGAAACAAAAAUGAAUAUUCUAAAUUCUGAAUCAUUGAUCGACUUGGAAGGAGAACAUGUCAUAGUUCUUUCUGAUGAUGAAAAACAAGGAGACAUUUCUGCUCAUCUGGGGCUUUCCAGUAGUUGGGCAACUACAUAUGGCGGUAAUCAUGCUGAUACAGAUGCUGCCGGGAGAGAGUUAAAAGCUGACCUGAAGGGAGAAGUCAGCACCCAUGGGGGUUUGAUGGUGUCCCCUGGGUCUCAUCAUCAGCUAGAUUCUUGUUCAACUGAUCUUGUCAUUGAGAAAAUGAGCUCAGAUAAUAAUGUAGGCAUACAAAUAUCUCAAUCCUCUAUUCAAUCUGAGCCAUCAGCAAGUAAGAGAAAGAAAGUUGAAACAGAAGAUGGUGUAACCAAUUCUUUCUUGUCAACAGACAAAUCAAAUUUGACAAAACUAUCUGAUGGAACUGUCAAUUCAGAAAAAAAUGAUUCAUUUGCAGCUCAACUGCAUUCAAGAAAUGCCUUUCCCGAGAUGACUUCUGCAAGCAAUGUUCAACAGAGUUUGAAAAAACCUCCAAAAACUAGUGAUGAAACGAUGAAAGAGUUAGUAUGUGAUACUGAUGACAAUGCGUGGAACUUUUCAUUUUUCAAGCCACCAAGACGUCACCAGACACUAAUAACAAAGCCAAGCACUUCUGGCCCUAAACGGCAAGUUAUCCAGCUAACCUCACCUGUGGAGAACAGACCUGGAUCUAUGAGGCUGGGUGCUGGAGUGCCAAAAAGAUUUCAACCUCCCAGGCUUGAUGACUGGUACAGGCCCAUCUUACAGUUGGAUUUUUUUGUGGCUGUUGGAUUAGCUUCUGGAACUGAAAAAGAUAAUCAAAAUGUUGGCAAACUAAAGGAAGUCCCUGUUUGUUUUGAAUCACCUGAUGGGUAUGUUGAAAUUUUCCGGCCCUUGGUACUGGAAGAGUUCAAAGCGCAAUUGCAAAGUUCCUAUGUGGAGAUGGCUUCUGCAGAAGAAAUGUCUUGUGGAAGUUUAUCUGUGCUUUCAGUUGAGAGAAUUGAUGAUUUCCAUGUUGUUCGCUUUGUCCAUGAUGAAGAUGAGUCUACUGCAUCUAAAAGUCUGUCAGAAAAUGAUCUCAUUUUACUUACGAGACAACCACUGAGAAAUUCUAAUAGUGACACUCACGCUGUUGGAAAGGUUGAGAGGCGUGAGAAAGACAAUAAAAGAAGGUUAAAUAUCUUAGCCAUCAGAUUGUAUCUUCAAGGAUGUUCUCGUCUUAACCGAGCUAGAAAGUUCCUUACUGAGCGAAGCAAAUGGUAUGUUGGUCGUAUUAUGAGCAUUACCCCUCAACUUCGAGAAUUCCAGGCAUUGUCAUCAAUAAGGGAAAUCCCUCUGCUUCCAGUCAUCUUGAACCCUGUCAAUCAUCCUUGUGGUCAAUAUGAAUCGAGAACUGAAAAUCUUAGUAAACUACCUCAACCUUUGCAGCAGAUUUUCAAGUCAUCAUAUAAUGGCAGUCAGUUGCGGGCUAUUAGUCUUGCUAUUGGUGAGUUCAACUUGAAGAAGGAUUUUGAGUUGACUCUUGUACAGGGUCCUCCAGGAACUGGGAAGACCAGAACGAUCGUGGCCAUCGUUAGUGGUUUGCUUGCUUUCUCUCAAAUGAAAGAUUCCAAAGGAUUAAGAAAUGGUGGACCAGCUUUUAGCAUUAGUUCUAUCACUAACCAAAGGAUCAGUCAAUCUGCUGCAGUUGCGAGAGCCUGGCAGGAUGCAGCAUUGGCUAGACAAUUAAAUGAGGAUGUCGAAAGUAACAAAAGAUCUGCAGGAAGCUGCAUUAGAGGGCGGAUUCUUAUUUGUGCUCAGUCAAAUGCUGCAGUUGACGAGCUAGUUGCAAGAAUAUCGAGUGAAGGUCUUUAUGGCUGUGAUGGACAGAGAUACAAACCAUAUCUCGUGAGGGUUGGUAGUGCAAAGACUGUCCAUCCAAAUUCUCUCCCCUUCUUUAUUGAUACACUUGUCGAAAAUCGUCUAGGGGAGCAAAAGAGGAAUGCCUGGGAUGAAAAAAAGAGUUCGACUUCUGCAGAUUCUUUAACCACUAUACGUACUAAUCUAGAGAAGUUAGUGGACCGCAUAAGGUACUAUGAAUCAAAGCGGGCUAACUUGCAGGGAGGAAAUUCUGACUCUAAAAAUCUAGUGGAAGGAGAUUGUGGAGAUGCUGAGGUAUUGUCUGAUGCCGAACUAAAAGAAAACCUAAGGAGAUUAUAUGAAAAGAAGAAAGCAAUGUAUACAGAUCUUGCCAAUGUUCAGGCAAGAGAAAAAAAACAUAGUGAUGAAAUCAGAGUCCUAAGACACAAAUAUCGAACAGCUAUCUUGAAGGAGGCUGAAAUUGUGGUAACUACACUGAGUGGCUGCGGUGGAGAUCUAUAUGGGGUGUGCUCUGAAUCUACAUCAGGCCAUAAGUUCAUUAGUUCAUCUGAGAAUACUCUAUUUGAUGCUGUUGUGAUUGAUGAAGCUGCUCAAGCCCUGGAACCUGCCACUUUGAUCCCACUUCAGCUCCUAAAAUCGAGGGGUACAAAGUGUAUCAUGGUUGGUGAUCCAAAGCAACUUCCUGCCACAGUUCUCUCUAAUGUUGCCUGCAAGUACUUGUUCCAAUGCAGCAUGUUUGAACGAUUGCAGAGGGCAGGACAUCCUGUAAUUAUGCUCAAAGAACAGUAUAGGAUGCAUCCAGAGAUAUGCCGUUUUCCUUCUUUGCAUUUCUAUGAGGGCAAGCUGCUAAAUGGAGAUCAGAUGUCUGGCAAAGCUGCAUCCUUCCAUGGUACUGGGUGCCUUGGGCCAUAUGUAUUUUUCGAUAUUAUUGAUGGGCAGGAGCUUCGUGGUAAGAAUGCAGCAUCCUUGUCCCUGUACAAUGAGUCUGAGGCUGAGGCUGCAGUUGAAGUGUUGCAAUUUUUUAGGAUGAGUUAUCCCUCAGAAUUCUCCGGCGGAAGAAUUGGUAUCAUAACUCCUUAUAAGCGCCAGUUAUCACUUCUGCAUUCACGGUUCUCUAGUGCAUUUGGGCCUUCUAUCACUGCCGAAAUGGAAUUUAAUACGGUUGAUGGUUUUCAAGGUCGAGAAGUUGAUAUCCUGCUGCUUUCUACUGUUCGAGCAGCAGGAUCCUGCUCUGACACAGCCAGGGUCACUAGCAGUCUUGGAUUUGUCGCUGAUGUGAGACGGAUGAAUGUUGCUUUGACUAGGGCCAAACUGUCUCUGUGGAUUUUCGGUCACGCAAGAACAUUACAGACAAACCAGAGCUGGGGAGCUCUUCUGGAAGAUGCCAAACAAAGAAAAUUGAUUGUAUCCGGAAAAAAGCCGUACAGUUCAAUUUACAAGUUUGGUUUGGAGAGCAGACCUUCAGGAAAUUCCUCGAAAAUUCAGUUGGAGGAAGUUGGAGGGAUCAAACCUCCAAGUGAAUGUGUGAAUACAGAGAAGAAGGUUGUGAAGCAUACUUCCGAAAGGAAAAGAAGAUGCCUUGGUGUUGUACCAGAAAGCAUCUAUACAGGUGAAGGAGGCAUUUCUUCUUCAACAAAGGAUGCUGCUAAAGAUGACCAAAAAAGCUCCAGAGAUGGCACAAAUGUCUCAAUGAAGGAGGUUGCAUCUGUUGUAAUUCCAAAUAGCGAUAACAAAGUAUUGAAGGGUGCAAAGUCAAAAUUGGAAGUAGACCAAGUUAUGAGAGAUAAAAGCUGGGCCUGCAGAUCUAAUGACAAUCAAAAUAAUGUGAAAAAAGCUGGUGUUGGAAAGGGAAAUGAUAUUCACAAUACAAGGGGACAGUCAGCUGGGAAGGUGAAGAGUGGAAGCCAGAAGCACCGGAGACCUGUAGCUGAUGAAAUGUUCUCUAAAACCUUUAAGCAUGAUAAGCUACAGGAGGUUAAAGCCGGCGCAUCAUUGUCUGUGGGAAGCUCCAAGGAGAAGGGUGAACAAGGAGCUUCUACCCAGGUUGAAGUGCUUGAAGAUUCAAUUAUGAAAAGGAAGCAACAGCGUGAGGCUGUUGAUGCUCUCCUGUCAUCAGCUCUUAUAUCUUCGAAGAAGUCAGAAUCCUCGGUGAAAUCAUCCGUGAAGAGGACUCUUUCAACAUCAAAUACCAGUUGUGAUCCUAUCAGACCCCAGAAGCGAAUAAAUGAUUCAUAGAAGGAGAACUCUUCAAGAUCUAAGGAGUUUAAAGAAGCCUUGGGCCUUUGAAGAUGCUGUUGUACUGUAUCAAAUGGUAUAUUUUUCACCCCAAAGGUAACUGGUACAUGUUUGACCAGGCCAGUAGAUAGCAUUUAACCUGGCUCGCCGAGUUUCUGCUGGUUCGUUUUGCUUCCUGGAUAGUGAAGUGAUUGAAGGGAAAAAACUACGUGUUGCCGAUCGUUCCCUUGGAACGAAUUAUAAAGGAGCCGAUCAACACAUUAGGCCCAACCACAGCAUCUCUUGCGGAGCGCAAAAAUCUAGCUGAAGAUGGCCCAAUUCUGAGGAAGUCCAAUUAUCAGACUAUUAGGCCCGUUAGGGUUAAUGACUAUUACUAAAUAAAGCUAUAGGUGAGAAAGAACGAGACAAAAGCAGUUAAGGCUAGGUAGAGAUGACGACACUCGUCAAUGGAUCUUUUAUCUGUUAGGUAUUUAACACCUUGUAUGAAAUGAAAGGAAGCAUGGAACAAUGUUAAAGAAAUCUUCAUCUUCUUCCUCUAAAUUCUGGAGCUCCACCCCUGCUUGAAUUGGGAUACCUUUUUAUAAAUUUUGAUAGCAUCAUCAUCACUUGUUUGUCAUUUGACUGCCGGUUAGCCCUUCCGGAAAAUGUGUGGAUCAACGUGAUCUGUGCUUCAACUGUUAUUGUUUUAUGUUGGGGUUGAUGGAACUAGGAUUAGAUGCUCAUGUAUUACUGAGAUGCCCUGCAGGGGACCCAUGAAAGAUCUUAAGAUAUAUAUGCAUAUAUUUACACAGACUGCAGCUAAUUCAGUAAUCAGUAAUUUAAGUGUGGUUGGAUUAUGUGCUGCGUUUGGUUGAGUUGCAUAGUUUACUUCACUGGUGGAUGAAGUUGCAGAAGAAAGGCUCAAUUCAAUUAACAUAUGCUCAUCUCUAGGGCUCUGUAUA